GACGAACGCUGGCGGCGUGCCUAAUACAUGCAAGUCGAACGCAUUUUCUUUCACCGUAGCUUGCUACACCGAAAGAAAAUGAGUGGCGAACGGGUGAGUAACACGUGGGUAACCUGCCCAUCAGCGGGGGAUAACACUUGGAAACAGGUGCUAAUACCGCAUAAUUCCAUUUACCGCAUGGUAGAUGGAUGAAAGGCGCUUUUGCGUCACUGAUGGAUGGACCCGCGGUGCAUUAGCUAGUUGGUGGGGUAACGGCCUACCAAGGCUGCGAUGCAUAGCCGACCUGAGAGGGUGAUCGGCCACACUGGGACUGAGACACGGCCCAGACUCCUACGGGAGGCAGCAGUAGGGAAUCUUCGGCAAUGGACACAAGUCUGACCGAGCAACGCCGCGUGAGUGAAGAAGGUUUUCGGAUCGUAAAACUCUGUUGUUAGAGAAGAACAAGGAUGAGAGUGGAAAGUUCAUCCCUUGACGGUAUCUAACUAGAAAGCCACGGCUAACUACGUG
rnacentral:rRNA from 1 species